ACAUGAGUGCCAGAGUGGUAUGGGCUGGUUUUAAGCAUCAGAUACGGACUGUAGUUCCCUUAUGUU
rnacentral:tRNA from 1 species